rnacentral:rRNA from 1 species
CAGUAGCCACGGGAAUACGGAGGGUGCGAGCGUUAAUCGGAAUUACUGGGCGUAAAGCGUACGCAGGCGGUUUGUUAAGUCAGAUGUGAAACCCCCGAGCUUAACUCGGGAACUGCAUUUGAAACUGGCAGGCUAGAGUCUCGUAGAGGGGGGUAGAAUUCCAGGUGUAGCGGUGAAAUGCGUAGAGAUCCGGAGGAAUACCGGUGGCGAAGGCGGCCCCCUGGACGAGGACUGACGUUGAGGCGCGAAAGCGUGGGGAGCAAACAGGAUUAGAUACCCCGGUAGUCCCUGUCUCUUAUAC